rnacentral:rRNA from 1 species
GAUGAACGCUGGCGGCGUGCCUAACACAUGCAAGUCGAACGGAAAGGCCCUGCUUUUGUGGGGUGCUCGAGUGGCGAACGGGUGAGUAACACGUGAGUAACCUGCCCUUGACUUUGGGAUAACUUCAGGAAACCGGGGCUAAUACCGGAUAGGAGCUCCUGCUGCAUGGGGGGGCUUGGAAAGUUUCGGCGGUUGGGGAUGGACUCGCGGCUUAUCCGCUUGUUGGUGGGGUAGUGGCUUACCAAGGCUUUGAAGGGUAGCCCGCAUGGGAGGGUGACCGGCCACAAGACGACUGCGAGAGGGCGCAGAGUGGUACGUGGGGCAGCAGGGGAAAGUAUUGCACAGUGAGCGGAAGUGUGUGGCGGAAACGCCGCGUGCGUAAAGACGGCCUUCGGGUUGUGAACCACUUUCGCCUGAGACGAUGCGUGAGUGACGGUAAUGGAUAAAGAAGCACCGGCUAACUACGUG